rnacentral:rRNA from 1 species
UUCCGUUUGAUCCCGCCGGGACCGACUGCUAUCAGAGUGGGACUAAGCCAUGCGAGUCAACGUAGCAAUACGUGGCAUACGGCUCAGUAACACGUAGUCAACAUGCCCAGGGGACGAGGAUAACCUCGGGAAACUGAGGAUAAACCUCGAUAGGCCAUGAUUUCUGGAAUGAUUCUUGGCUCAAACCUAUAUGGCCCCUGGAUUGGACUGCGGCCGAUCAGGCUGUUGGUGAGGUAAUGGCCCACCAAACCUAUUACCGGUACGGGCUCUGAGAGGAGGAGCCCGGAGAUGGGCACUGAGACAAGGGCCCAGGCCCUAUGGGGCGCAGCAGGCGCGAAACCUCUGCAAUAGGCGAAAGCUUGACAGGGUUACUCUGAGUGAUUUCCGCUAAGGGAAUCUUUUGGCACCUCUAAAAAUGGUGCAGAAUAAGGGGUGGGCAAGUCUGGUGUCAGCCGCCGCGGUAAUACCAGCACCCCGAGUGGUCGGGACGUUUAUUGGGCCUAAAGCAUCCGUAGCCGGUUCUGCAAGUCCCCCGUUAAAUCCAGCUGCUCAACAGAUGGGCCGCGGAGGAUACUACAGAGCUAGGAGGCAGGAGAGGCAAGCGGUACUCAGUGGGUAGGGGUAAAAUCCGUUGAUCCAUUGAAGACCACCAGUGGCGAAGGCGGCUUGCCAGAAUGCGCUCGACGGUGAGGGAUGAAAGCUGGGGGAGCAAACCGGAUUAGAUACCCGGGUAGUCCCAGCCGUAAACGAUGCAGACUCGGUGAUGGGUUGGCUUCGCGCUAACCCAGUGCCGCAGGGAAGCCGUUAAGUCUGCCGCCUGGGUAGUACGGUCGCAAGACUGAAACUUAAAGGAAUUGGCGGGGGAGCA